GUCUUACUUUGGAGGUUGUGGCCUUUGAGCCCGUGGCUUUUCGGGAGGCUAACGCGUUAAAGUAGACCGCCUGGGGGAGUACGGGUCGCAAGAUUAAAACUCAAAUGAAUUGACGGGGGCCCCGCACAAGCGGUGGAGCAAUGUGGUUUUAAUUCGAUGCAACGCGAAGAACCUUACCUACUCUUGACAUCUACAGAAGCUUGCGGAGACGCGAGAGUGCCUUCGGGAACUGUAAGACAGGUGCUGCAUGGCUGUCGUCAGCUCGUGUUGUGAAAUGUUGGGUUAAGUCCCGCAACGAGCGCAACCCUUAUCCUUGUUUGCCAGCGAGUCAUGUCGGGAACUCCAGGGAGACUGCCGGUGAUAAACCGGAGGAAGGUGGGGACGACGUCAAGUCAUCAUGGCCCUUACGAGUAGGGCUACACACGUGCUACAAUGGCGCAUACAGAGGGUUGCCAACUUGCGAAAGUGAGCGAAUCCCAAAAAGUGCGUCGUAGUCCGGAUUGGAGUCUGCAACUCGACUCCAUGAAGUCGGAAUCGCUAGUAAUCGUGAAUCAGAAUGUCACGGUGAAUACGUUCCCGGGCCUUGUACACACCGCCCGGCAGCACCAUGGGAGUGGGCUGCAAAAGAAGCAGGUAGUUUAACCU
rnacentral:rRNA from 1 species